UACGGAGGGUGCAAGCGUUAUCCGGAUUCACUGGGCUUAAAGGGUGCGUAGGUGGGCAGGUAAGUCAGUGGUGAAAUCUCUGGGCUUAACCCGGAAACUGCCGUUGAUACUAUCUGUCUUGAAUAUAGUGGAGGUGAGCGGAAUAUGUCAUGUAGCGGUGAAAUGCUUAGAUAUGACAUAGAACAUCGAUUGCGAAGGCAGCUCGCUACACUAUGAUUGACACUGAGGCACGAAAGCGUGGGGAUCAAACAGG
rnacentral:rRNA from 1 species